rnacentral:rRNA from 1 species
UACGUAGGGUGCGAGCGUUGUCCGGAAUUACUGGGCGUAAAGAGCUCGUAGGUGGUUUGUCGCGUUGUUCGUGGGAACUCACAACUCAAUUGUGGGCGUGCGGGCGAUACGGGCAGACUGGAGUACUGCAGGGGAGACUGGAAUUCCUGGUGUAGCGGUGGAAUGCGCAGAUAUCAGGAGGAACACCGGUGGCGAAGGCGGGUCUCUGGGCAGUAACUGACGCUGAGGAGCGAAAGCGUGGGGAGCGAACAGG